GACAGAGGGUGCAAACGUUGUUCGGAAUUACUGGGCGUAAAGCGUGUGUAGGCGGCUAGGUAAGUCGGAUGUGAAAGCCCCGGGCUCAACUCGGGAAGUGCACUCGAUACUGCUUAGCUCGAGUACCGGAGAGGUUGGUGGAAUUCUCGGUGUAGAGGUGAAAUUCGUAGAUAUCGGGAGGAACACCGGUGGCGAAGGCGGCGAUCUGGGUAGAUACUGACGCUGAGGAGCGAAAGCGUGGGGAGCGAACAGG
rnacentral:rRNA from 1 species